AAGGCAAAGAUGCCAACGGUGGGGAUGCUCAAGAGAGUUUGUAAAGGUUCUGAAGCAUUUCCAAAAGAGGCAUUCCAAAGAUGGCUGCUCAGUGAUGGCCUGCCGAGAACAUUAACAGGGAGUUCUGCAUAAUCUAAUCAGCAGUGGUUGGGUAUCCCUGCAGCAAGAAGUGCUGAGACACUGCUUUGUUGAUGACCAAGAGAUGAACCAGCAGGUGGAAUCCAUGAACCUCUUAACUUCAACCUGAGGAUGGUGGCAGAAAGAUCCCCAAGGUCCUUGUCCCUGAGGCUGCAAUUAGUCUAUGACCUUGGACAAGUCGUUUGAUUUUUCUGAGCCUCAGGUUGCAUAUGGAGAUAAAAAGACCUGUCUUUCAGCCCUCGAUGGCUCCCCACUGCCUCAGGACAAAGUCCUAAAGACUUCAACCAGACCCAGCCUACAACCAAAGCCGGCCCCUCUGCCAUGCUUCCUGCAGAGCAACCUCAUCAGAUUGGAGCAUGU